rnacentral:rRNA from 1 species
GGAUAACCUGCCCUUGGGACCGGCAUAACCCCGGGAAACUGGGGAUAAUUCCGGAUAACGCAUAUAUGCUGGAAUGCUUUAUGCGUGAAAUGGAUUCGUCUGCCCAAGGAUGGGUCUGCGGCCUAUCAGGUAGUAGUGGGUGUAAUGGACCUACUAGCCUACAACGGGUACGGGUUGUGAGAGCAAGAGCCCGGAGAUGGAUUCUGAGACAUGAAUCCAGGCCCUACGGGGCGCAGCAGGCGCGAAAACUUUACAAUGCGGGAAACCGUGAUAAGGGGACACCGAGUGCCAGCAUCAUAUGCUGGCUGUCCAGGUGUGUAAAAUACACCUGUUAGCAAGGGCCGGGCAAGACCGGUGCCAGCCGCCGCGGUAACACCGGCGGCCCGAGUGGUGAUCGUGAUUAUUGGGUCUAAAGGGUCCGUAGCCGGUUUGGUCAGUCCUCCGGGAAAUCUGACAGCUCAACUGUUAGGCUUUCGGGGGAUACUGCCAGACUUGGAACCGGGAGAGGUAAGAGGUACUACAGGGGUAGGAGUGAAAUCUUGUAAUCCCUGUGGGACCACCUGUGGCGAAGGCGUCUUACCAGAACGGGCUCGACGGUGAGGGACGAAAGCUGGGGGCACGAACCGGAUUAGAUACCCGGGUAGUCCCAGCCGUAAACGAUGCUCGCUAGGUGUCAGGCAUGGCGCGACCGUGUCUGGUGCCGCAGGGAAGCCGUGAAGCGAGCCACCUGGGAAGUACGGCCGCAAGGCUGAAACUUAA